rnacentral:rRNA from 1 species
AUUGAACGCUGGCGGCAGGCCUAACACAUGCAAGUCGAACGAGCGGCGGACGGGUGAGUAAUGUCUGGGAAUCUGCCCGAUGGAGGGGGAUAACUACUGGAAACGGUAGCUAAUACCGCAUACUAUCGGAUGAACCCAUAUGGGAUUAGCUAGUAGGUGGGGUAAAGGCUCACCUAGGCGACGAUCUCUAGCUGGUCUGAGAGGAUGACCAGCCACACUGGGACUGAGACACGGCCCAGACUCCUACGGGAGGCAGCAGUGGGGAAUAUUGCGCAAUGGGGGCAAGCCUGAUGCAGCCAUGCCGCGUGAAUGAAGAAGGCCUUCGGGUUGUAAAGUUCUUUCAGCAGGGAGGCGUUACCUACAGAAGAAGCACCGGCUAACUCCGUGCCAGCAGCCGCGGUAAUAC